rnacentral:tRNA from 1 species
GGUGGCACAGUUGUUAAACAUUUGGCUGCUAACCAAAAGGUCGGCAGUUUGAAUCCACCAGCCACCA